rnacentral:rRNA from 1 species
UACGGAGGGGGCUAGCGUUGUUCGGAAUUACUGGCGUAAAGCGGACGUAGGCGGCUUUGUAAGUUAGAGGUGAAAGCCCGGGGCUCAACUCCGGAAUUGCCUUUAAGACUGCAUCGCUAGAAUUGUGGAGAGGUAAGUGGAAUUCCGAGUGUAGAGGUGAAAUUCGUAGAUAUUCGGAAGAACACCAGUGGCGAAGGCGACUUACUGGACACAUAUUGACGCUGAGGUGCGAAAGCGUGGGGAGCAAACAGG